AGCUUGAUACUGGGAUUCGAUAUUGCAUGUACAGGAUAGGUGGGAGACUUUGAACUGAUGACGCCAGUUGUCAGGGAGUCACUGUUGGGAUACCACCCUUGUAGUAUUGGAUUUCUAACCAGCAGCCGUGAACCGGCUGGGGGACAAUGUCAGGUGGGGAGUUUGACUGGGGCGGUCGCCUCCGAAAGGGUAUCGGAGGCGCUCAAAGGUUCCCUCAGAAUGGUUGGAAACCAUUCGAAGAGUGCAAAGGCAGAAGGGAGCUUGACUGCGACACCGACGGGUGGAGCAGGUACGAAAGUAGGACUUAGUGAUCCGGUGGUAUAAAGUGGGAUUGCCAUCGCUCAACGGAUAAAAGCUACCCUGGGGAUAACAGGCUUAUCACUCCCAAGAGUUCACAUCGACGGAGUGGUUUGGCACCUCGAUGUCGGCUCAUCGCAUCCUGGGGCUGAAGUAGGUCCCAAGGGUUGGGCUGUUCGCCCAUUAAAGCGGUACGCGAGCUGGGUUCAGAACGUCGUGAGACAGUUCGGUCCCUAUCCGGCGUGGGCGUAGGAUAUUUGAGAGGAGCUGCCCUUAGUACGAGAGGACCGGGGUGGACUGGCCGCUGGUGGAUCUGUUGUAUUACCAAAUGCAUAGCAGAGUAGCCAAGCCGGGACGGGAUAAACGCUGAAGGCAUCUAAGCGUGAAGCCCCCCUCAAGAUGAGAUAUCCCAUAACGUCAAGUUAGUAAGACCCCUUGAAGACGACGAGGUAGAUAGGGCAGAGGUGGAAGUG
rnacentral:rRNA from 1 species